AGUGAACGCUGGCGGUAGGCCUAACACAUGCAAGUCGAACGGCAGCACAGGAGAGCUUGCUCUCUGGGUGGCGAGUGGCGGACGGGUGAGGAAUACAUCGGAAUCUACUCUGUCGUGGGGGAUAACGUAGGGAAACUUACGCUAAUACCGCAUACGACCUACUGGUGAAAGCAGGGGAUCUUCGGACCUUGCGCGAUUGAAUGAGCCGAUGUCGGAUUAGCUAGUUGGCGGGGUAAAGGCCCACCAAGGCGACGAUCCGUAGCUGGUCGGGGAGGAUGAUCAGCCACACUGGAACUGAGACACGGUCCAGACUCCUACGGGAGGCAGCAGUGGGGAAUAUUGGACAAUGGGCGCAAGCCUGAUCCAGCCAUACCGCGUGGGUGAAGAAGGCCUUCGGGUUGUAAAGCCCUUUUGUUGGGAAAGAAAUCCAGCUGGCUAAUACCCGGUUGGGAUGACGGUACCCAAAGAAUAAGCACCGGCUAACUUCGUGCCAGCCGCCGCAGUAA
rnacentral:rRNA from 1 species